rnacentral:tRNA from 1 species
AGCAGUGUGGCUCAGUGGAAAGAGCAAGGACUUGCGAGUCAGAGUUCCUGGGUUCAAAUCCCGGCUCUGCCA